ensembl:lncRNA
UGCUAGUCAGGCGUGCGGGUGCAGGCAACGAACGGUUGAAAAGCAUGCAUUUGGUUUUACUAGCGUUUAAGAGCAGUUGGAGGCCACGGAAGGAGUGUUGUAUGGCAUUGAAGCUCGUUUGGAGGUUAGAUAGCACAGUGUCCAAGGACGGGCUAGAAGUAUAUAGAAUGGUGUCGUCUGCGUAGAGGUGGAUCAGGGAAUCGCCCGCAGCAAGAGCAACAUCAUUGAUAUAUACAGAGAAAAGAGUUGGCCCGAGAAUUGAACCCUGUGGCACCCCCAUAGAGACUGCCAGAGGACCGGACAGCAUGCCCCACAUAUAUACCCCACUUUGGACAAUCCUCCUCUGCAAUGCUUACAUCUUCUGGUUUGACAGGAAGAGGGUAACAGGAUACUAAACCCUUAGGUUGCAAGAUCGGUUCCCCGAGCUGACAAGGUACAAAUCGUUCGUUCUGCCCCUGAACAAGGCAGUUAACCCACUGUUCCUAAGCCAUCAUUGAAAAUAAGAAUGUGUUCUUAACUGACUUGCCGAGUAAAAUAAAAAUAAAUAAAUAAAAAUUGUGUCGACGACCGGCUCCCUCCUAGUCAGGUUGUGUCGACGACCGGCUCCCUCCUAGUCAGGUUGUGUCGACGACCGGCUCCCUCCUAGUCAGGUUGUGUCGACGACCGGCUCCCUCCUAGUCAGGUUGUGUCGAUGACCGGCUCCCUCCUAGUCAGGUUGUGUCGAUGACCGGCUCCUUCCUAGUCAGGUUGUGUAGAUGACCGGCUCCCUCCUAGUCAGAUUAUAUUGACGACUGCCUCCCUCUAGUCACUAGUGUGUCUUAUUUAUUUAAUCAAACAGCGUUUAAAGCAUCAUAUGUUCAGUACAUAUAGAUUUUAUAAAAACAAGUGGGGCGAUUGAUAGAAAUUACAGAUGACUCUUGGUUGACCGUGGAUCAAAUCCAGGCUGUAUCAUAACCGGCCGUGAUUGGGAGUCCCAUAGGGCGGCGCACAAUUGGCCCAGCGUCGUCCAGGGAACGCAGUCAUUGUAAAUAAGAUUUUGUUCUUAACUGAUUUGCCUAGUUAAAUAAAGGUUACAUUUAAAUAAUUUUUAAAAAGUGAUUCAUUGACAAACCAUAUUUUACAAAUCCGUCAAGGCACCAAAACAAAGGUUUCAAACCAAUUCAUGAAUGUAAUUGAAUCUAGGUGUCUUGCCUUUAAUGUAAGGGCAUGAAAAAAAAUGGCUGACAAUGACUUAUCAACAGCUCUAAUAAUUUGCCCUCACAGGAAAUCUACACUGGCAAUUAUA